GACGAACGCUGGCGGCGUGCUUAACACAUGCAAGUCGAGCGGAAAGGCCACUUCGGUGGUACCCGAGCGGCGAACGGGUGAGUAACACGUGAGUAAUCUGCCCUUCACUCUGGGAUAGCCACCGGAAACGGUGAUUAAUACCGGAUAUGACCAAUCCAUGCACGGGGUGUUGGUGGAAACUUUUUUGGGUGGGGGAUGUGCUCGCGGCCUCUCAGCUUGUUGGUGGGGUAAUGGCCUACCAAGGCUUCGACGGGUAGCCGGCCUGAGAGGGUGACCGGCCACACUGGGACUGAGACACGGCCCAGACUCCUACGGGAGGCAGCAGUGGGGAAUAUUGGACAAUGGGCGGAAGCCUGAUCCAGCAACGCCGCGUGAGGGAUGACGGCCUUCGGGUUGUAAACCUCUUUCAGCACCGACGAAGCGCAAGUGACGGUAGGUGCAGAAGAAGGACCGGCCAACUACGUGCCAGCAGCCGCCGUAAGAC
rnacentral:rRNA from 1 species